UAGGCGUAGGGGGCAAGCGUUGUCCGGGAUUUAUUGGGCGUAAAGGAGCGUGUAGGCGGGUUAGGUUAGGUCCGUUGUGAAAACUCGAGGCUCAACCUCGAGACGCCGAUGGAAACCAUCUGACUAGAGUCCGGAAGAGGAGAGUGGAAUUCCUGGUGUAGCGGUGAAAUGCGUAGAUAUCGGAAGGAACACCAGUGGCGAAAGCGGCUUCCUGGUCCAGCACC
rnacentral:rRNA from 1 species